rnacentral:lncRNA from 1 species
CUGCCAUCCUAGAGAUACCCAAUAUCUGCUUUUUCUACAAUGUGGAUUUCAAUACAGAUUGGUAAUGAUAAAAUAUCUAAAACUUCUAUGUUCUAUUAUAUAAUAAAGUUUGUAUAGGCUUCAGAGGAUCAAAAGUCAUAAAGCUUGGAUCCACUUCUCACAGUUUAAACAUGUCUCAACAGAUUUCCACUUCUGGUAGAAGAAUAUCAGUUGCUGACUACAGCCUGCUCCUAAAGACUUCAAGCCCUAGACUUGCUGUGGAUGUGAACCAGUCCAGCUGAUAUGGACACCACCUAUCUCUGCAACAGAGUCUGCCACCCAGAAGCUCCUAAUGAAUUCCCUGUAGGGGAAGCUGUAGCCACGUCUACUUAGGGGCUGGCUACAGGUGCCUGACCACGCUUUCGAGGGCGUGGUCAGGGUGAUGUAGUGUGACUGUGUUUUCUCUUUCGCUCUCUCUUUUGGGCUUGUGUACAGACCGCUGCCACGCCGGCUGACUAUGUCACUCUGUAAGUGAGGCUUUUCCCUAUUAAAUACC